GCGGCCGCCCAGUGCGCCGCCGUCCAGCCGCGCGCGUCCUCCGCCUCCGCCGGUCUCGGGCCCGGAGCCUCCAGCAGGCGCGCGACCAGCAGCGUGUGGCCCAGCGCAGCGGCCCAGUGCAGCGGCGUGAGGCCCGUCCCGGAGCGCGCUGCCGCCGAGGCCCCGCGCUGCAGCAGCAGCUCGGCCACCCGCGAGUGCCCGUGCCAGGCGGCCUCGUGCAGCGCGGUGCGCCCCGCCCGGUCCACCGCGCCCACCGGGGCCCCUCGCUGCAGCAGGAGACGUACCAGGGGCGCGUGGCCCCGCAGCACGGCCAGAAGGAAAGCUCUGUAAGGCUGAUCAGGAAAGAAGCGAGGAGCUCUGGGGGCCGGGUGGAAAGUCCUGUACUCAUCAGGGCCAGGGAGCCACAGAAACUACCUCACGCCAGCUUCCCAGAGGUACAGAGGCUAGAAUGGACCUCCAGGAGGCCCCUCCCAAGACUCCCGCCUCCCGGGUUCCACCGUAGUGGGGGCAGCCACAGCUGCCUCUGCAAUGCUUGU
rnacentral:antisense_RNA from 1 species